GAAGGGUCUGUAAUUGCCUCUGAUGGGGAAGGGGUCGGUGCCGUCAGGGAAGGGUCCGUGCCCGCCGCGGGCUGGGCUGGCUGGGGUCGGUCACCGCCGUCGGGGCUCGGCGAGCGCCGCUGGCCCGGCCGAGCUCUGCCUCUUCCCGGGAGGAGCGGUCAGGCAUUGUCGAAGGAGGUGCAGCAGGACCAUGGAGUAUCCAGUCUCCGCCUGGAGCGUCCCGGAGCAGCAGAGAGCUCUUCGCCCUCGUUCCUGCAGGGAUCUCCGGAGCACCCAUCCCGUGAGAGGAGCCGAUCGACAGAGGAGGCAUUCGUCGUGUGAGGCUGCGAGGCAAGAGCGAGCGGGGAAAGCCCAGGAGGCUGAAGAGGAGCGGAGCAGAGUUGGGGGAAGCCCAGGAGGCUGAAGAGGAUCAGAGCGAGCGGAGGAAGCCCAGGAGGCUGAAGAGGAGCGGAGCGGAGUUGGGGGAAGCCCAGGAGGCUGACGAGGAGGAAAGAGAAAGCCAGGUGACUUGCUGUACUUCUGAAGAGGGACUAUUCACUGAGCUGACACUCCUCCUGGGAUCUCCUAUUCUACACAUGUGACCAUCAGUACCUACCAAAACAAUUUACUUACUGGAUGCACUUCCUGGCCUUGUGUUUGACACAGCAAAAGAAGAUGUGGCACUGCGGACGAGCAUACUGAGGAAGCUGCUUAUGCAGGUGGAUGUAGCUGACUCAAGGAGAAAGCUGAGCAACCUUGGAUGCUGAGCUCUAAGUGUGGGAAACUACAGCCUUGGCAGAGAUCAUUCUCUGCACGAAAACAUGGGAUAUUAC